rnacentral:lncRNA from 1 species
GUAGCUUUACCCAAUUUCUUUUUAAGGGUAUAUAAGAAUUCACCGAGUCUCAAACUUUCAAAACAUACAUAAAGGAAACAUAUCAUUUUUCUCCUUUCUUUCUCUCCUUCAGUCACCUACCUCUCCUCUCAACAAUGACUUGUAAGUAUAUGCUAUCAGUCUUUUUGAUUUUUUGCAUUGUUUCUCUCACACUUGCCAGUAACUAUAAAUAGCUAGUUAGUACAAAAGUAUCCAUUACCAUGUUUCUUUCAAAAGUAUAAAUUCAAUUUUUAUUUUCCUUUUCUUCCUCUCUUUUAUUUUCUUCCUAUUUAUUCCAAAUCACUGUAAAAAUAUUUACAAAAGUAUUCAUUGAUUUUUUUAUACCCUCUUUAUCAUAAUUACAAUGUUAAAGUUUUAAAACUUUAAAAGGGUAAAUUUAUUAUGUAAAUAAUUUAAUAAAUGACUAAUUUGUUAUAAUGAAAAAGAUAUAUAUAUGAUCAAUUUCUUAUAAAUAAAUACUCGUUAAGAUAAAAGAUAAUGAUUUUUUCAUAAUAACACUAAAUUAGAGUGAGGAUUGUGACACAAUGAUUUUAGAUAAUGAUUUUUUUAAAGAUUUUAUAAUAUUAGUUUGAAUUAAAUACGUCCAAAAUACAUAUUUAGACAUAAAAGAGAAUGAACAUAAUGAUUAGUGUAAAGAUAAAAGAUAAUGAAUUUUUUAUUAUGUUACUCCCUCCUUUCCUUUUUAAGUGUCAUUUUUUGACUUUUUACAUGUACUAAGAAAAUUAAUCAUUAUUGUUAUUUUUUAAACAAUAAUUCUUUUUUUAUCUAUAAUACCCUUAAUUAUUUAUUAUAUUUAUUUUAUUUUUUUCUAUCUAUAAUAAUUAUCUAGGGUAAUUUUGACAAAAGUGCAAUUAAUACUUCUUUGAACUUUGCAAGUUACAAUUAAAAAAGAAUAAUUUUUUUCAAGAAAAUGACACUUAAAACGGAACGGAGGGCGUAGUUUGAAUUCAAUAUGUCUAAAAUAUUUUUUUUAAAAUUAUCAUGUUUUUCAAAUUAAAUCCCUAAAUAACCAUUUUUUCAAAAAAAAAAAACCACAUUUCCAAAUAGAUGCGCCAGUUGAACUGGCGCAUCCAUUUACAUUUCAAAGGAGGCUCCAGCUCCAUUGGCGCAUGCUUCCAAUGGCAUUGCAUGGAUGCGUCAUGGUGUGUGUGGCGCCUAGGCCUUUGCUGCAUGCAUUUCAUAGUUCAUCUAUAAAGACCCUCGCAUCUCCCAUAUUUUUUUACACAACUUCUUACCCUCCAACCCCAUUUUCUUUCAUUCUACUUCAAUCACCUUUAACUUUUCUUUCUUUAAUCGUGUCUGAAUAGAUUCACAAGAGAAAUACUGAUUUAAUCUUUUCAGCAGUCACAUCACCGAUAAAGAUUCGACUUUGCAAUAUAGAUUCAUUAGAACUUCUUAAUCAGACGCUGGUUAGAAGGAGAAAUUGCAUAUGGUGAAAGGAUUAGAAGGAUUUAAUGGCUUGAGUCCACGUUCAAUCAAAAUGGAUAAGUGCGUGAAUGGUGGAUAUUAAGACUGACAGAGACGUUCGCAGGAUGGUGCAUAAUAUGUUUAAAAUUGUUUUGAUGGUUUUAAUCGCUUAGUUAUAGUAAUGGUAUUUUAAUUGUUGUAGUUAUUUGUGUUGUUGUUUAUGUGUUACUUGUGUGUUGAAUGUGUUGUAUUUGUUUGUGAUGGUAUUGCAAUAAACUUUGUUUUUUAUAUAUUUCAAAAGAGGUACAUGUAAAAUUAUCUUGUUGUGCUCGUUCCAACACUAGGAUAGUUAAUACGAUGUGA